CCUACGGAGUGGCAGCAGUAGGGAAUCUUCCGCAAUGGACGCAAGUCUGACGGAGCAACGCCGCGUGAGUGAAGAAGGAUUUCGGUUCGUAAAACUCUGUUGUUAGAGAAGAACAGCGCAUAGAGUAACUGUUAUGCGUGUGACGGUAUCUAACCAGAAAGCCACGGCUAACUACGUGCCAGCAGCCGCGGUAAUACGUAGGUGGCAAGCGUUGUCCGGAUUUAUUGGGCGUAAAGCGAGCGCAGGCGGUCAAUUAAGUCUGAUGUGAAAGCCCCCGGCUCAACCGGGGAGGGUCAUUGGAAACUGGUUGAGUUGAGUGCAGAAGAGGAGAGUGGAAUUCCAUGUGUAGCGGUGAAAUGCGUAGAUAUAUGGAGGAACACCAGUGGCGAAGGCGACUCUCUGGUCUGUAACUGACGCUGAGGCUCGAAAGCGUGGGUAGCAAACAGGAUUAGAUACCCGAGUAGUC
rnacentral:rRNA from 1 species